rnacentral:lncRNA from 1 species
CAUGAUGACUAAUAUUUUUUACUAGGAAAUGCUAUGAAUAUACCUAACUUGUAUCUCAAAUGCACAUUUAAUAAAAUUGACCAUUUGAAUUGAUUGAAAAGAUUGUGUGGACCUCACACUUAGCCAAUUUAAAUGCUCACUUCAGAUGUGCAUUUGGGAUAAACCAAAAUUCUUUUGACUUGAUUAUUGUAAAAUAGACUGUUCAAAUAAUUUAGAUUUUAUUUUAAAUUAAUUUUAAUAAUUUAAAUUAUUCAUGUUGUAAAAUUUGUUAAAGAUUUUAAUAUUAUUAAAAAAUUCGUUGAUAAAAUAUUAAUUUAUAAUAUAUUAAUAUCAAUUUAUAUUAAAAAAAUUACAUUAAAAUUCUCCAAAUUAUUGUAUUCUCAACCUGAGUGUCAGAAAGCGUGUAGAACAGAAGAACCGACGUGUCAGAAAGUGUGUGGAACAUGAGGAUUGACAAUGAGUCAAAAAAAAGUCAAUCUCUCUCUAAUUCUUUAUAUUAUUCACAAGACUAGGCCAUAAAGUUCACUGUUCAUUGUCACGAGAACUUUCAUAAGAAGAUUUACAAGUCGGCAGAUGAUCAUUUUGUCCCAACUUUCUGUCUCAGUUAUAAAUGGAUAACACAUAUGUAUUUAAAAUUUAUUAAAAAAAAUUAUAUAAUUUUAUAAAUUAUAAAUAAACAAGUAUCAUCCAACUAGAUUAAGACAGGAUUAUAUCUCAAAUGUUUUGGGACAGCAGAUUCCAACUCUUACCAGUCUAACUACUCCUGAAAGUUUAGUGUUGUGCCACGUGUUUCACUUUAUCCACGAUCACAGACGUACGCUCGAGUAAGGCUGUUCAAAAAAAUAAGUAGAACUAAAAUAUCAGAAUAUUGAAUCUUAGGGCAUGUUUGGUAAUAUUUAAAAGUCAAGUUUUUUUUAAAGUUUAUUAUCAAAAAAAGUUAGAUUUUUUAAUUUUCUGGCUUUACUUUAGCUAAAAAUAAGCAAAAAAGUAAAAUAAAAAAGUAAAAAAGCAAAAAAAAAUGACUUUUUUGUUUAUAAAUUUAAAAAAAGCCAGCCGAAAAGCAGGUACCAAAUAGAGCCUUAAUAUUAGAAUAGCUUAUGUAAGGGAAUAAAUUAUACAAUUAUGAAUUCUGGCAUUCUUAGGGUAAGCACCGCCAACAAACUAUCAUUAUGAAGCAAGCUAUGUGGUCCCCUAUGCCGGGACUCGAUCGAGACACUACCAAACAUUGGCACUGUAAGGUUACCAUCACUUUCGAGUUGUCACUGUUUAGUAACCGGAGUUUGGCCAAGCACUGUUUUUAAAACCGGACCGGACGGUCAACAGUUUGUGGCGAUCCAACAGGUAAAUUUAAACUUUUUUGAUUUUUCUUAACGAGAUAAGACUGAAAAUGUAAAAAUUUUUAUUUAAUUUCCAAAAACAAUUUAUAAAAAUUAUUAUUUUUGAAAAAAAUAACUUUAUUUUUUAUAAAAGAAAAACUGUUAUAUAUUUUAAAAAUUAUUCUCAAUAAUAUAUAUAUUUCAAAACUAUUUUUUUUAAUAUUUUUUCGAUUAAAUGUUUUUCAAAAAAAAUAUUUUUCAGAAAAACGGUUAAUUUUCAAAAAAAAAUUGGUAAAAAAAAUUAAUUUAAUAAAAAAAAUUAUUAAAAAAACUAAUAAAAAAGAAACAAAAAAAAAACUAAAAAAACGAAAAAGAGAGGAGAGAGAGAGAGAGAGAGAGAGAGAAUUGUCCAAUAGGUGUGAAGGCAAAUUAGUAAUUUUACAAGUAAUAAUGGGGGACAAAAUCUGACAAGGGUGGUCAGUACCGAAACCUCAGGGGAGAUCAUUGUAAUUUUUUAAACUUUAAGAGUACUUUAUGUAUUAAUCUGAAACCUCAGGGGAGGUCAGUGUAAUUUACCCUUAUUAAAAUUGCCAAAAUGGAUUUUCGCCAAUUUCGCCAUUUCACCCAUUUUAACUUGUUGACGUCGUCAAAAUCAAAAUCGUUAUAUCACCGAUUUGAUUAUUAACAUCGCCUACCUAAGUUUUACUCGCCCGCCCAAAAGGUAGAAAAAUAAUUGGGAGUUACAUCCUCCAAUUAUUCAACUAAGGCAUCUUGCUCAUCAAAAUUGUGAAUUUCAGAAAGCUGGAGCAUCUCAGUUUUUUUUAUUUUUGAAAUUGCAACAAUUUUUUUGGACCUGUUUUCAGGUUUUAAAAACCAAUUUAAAAUAGUUUUCAGAAACUAUUUUUAAAAAAAAAAAACUGAUAUCAGUUGCAGAAACUGAUUUUAAAAAAUAAUUAUUUUUUGAAUUUUUAGAUUUUAAAUUUUUUUACAACUUUAAGGAAAAAACAGAAACUCGAAAACUGUUUUUUUUUCCUUUAGAAAUUGUUAUAUAUAAACAGAUUGCAUAAACAUGUUUUUUAUUAAAAUCAGAAACUAUUUUUUUUCUUGAAACAGUUUUGCUUCAAGGCUGGAUAACAAUGUUUCAUUGCUGUUUGCUUUCUGUAUAUUCAAAAGUUUACGGACCC